GACGAACGCUGGCGGCGUGCCUAAUACAUGCAAGUAGGACGCUGAAGGAGGAGCUUGCCCUUCUGGAUGAGUUGCGAACGGGUGAGUAACGCGUAGGUAACCUGCCUGGUAGCGGGGGAUAACUAUUGGAAACGAUAGCUAAUACCGCAUAACAGUAGAUGUUGCAUGACAUUUACUUAAAAGGUGCAAUUGCAUCACUACCAGAUGGACCUGCGUUGUAUUAGCUAGUUGGUGGGGUAACGGCUCACCAAGGCGACGAUACAUAGCCGACCUGAGAGGGUGAUCGGCCACACUGGGACUGAGACACGGCCCAGACUCCUACGGGAGGCAGCAGUAGGGAAUCUUCGGCAAUGGACGGAAGUCUGACCGAGCAACGCCGCGUGAGUGAAGAAGGUUUUCGGAUCGUAAAGCUCUGUUGUAAGAGAAGAACGAGUGUGAGAGUGGAAAGUUCACACUGUGACGGUAUCUUACCAGAAAGGGACGGCUAACUACGUG
rnacentral:rRNA from 1 species